GACGAACGCUGGCGGCGUGCUUAACACAUGCAAGUCGAACGGAAAGGCCCUGCUUUUGUGGGGUGCUCGAGUGGCGAACGGGUGAGUAACACGUGAGUAACCUGCCCUUGACUUUGGGAUAACUUCAGGAAACUGGGGCUAAUACCGGAUAGGAGCUCCUGCUGCAUGGUGGGGGUUGGAAAGUUUCGGCGGUUGGGGAUGGACUCGCGGCUUAUCAGCUUGUUGGUGGGGUAGUGGCUUACCAAGGCUUUGACGGGUAGCCGGCCUGAGAGGGUGACCGGCCACAUUGGGACUGAGAUACGGCCCAGACUCCUACGGGAGGCAGCAGUGGGGAAUAUUGCACAAUGGGCGGAAGCCUGAUGCAGCAACGCCGCGUGCGGGGUGACGGCCUUCGGGUUGUAAACCGCUUUCGCCUGUGACGAAGCGUGAGUGACGGUAAUGGGUAAAGAAGCACCGGCUAACUACGUGCCAGCAGCCGCGGUGAUACGUAGGGUGCGAGCGUUGUCCGGAUUUAUUGGGCGUAAAGGGCUCGUAGGUGGUUGAUCGCGUCGGAAGUGUAAUCUUGGGGCUUAACCCUGAGCGUGCUUUCGAUACGGGUUGACUUGAGGAAGGUAGGGGAGAAUGGAAUUCCUGGUGGAGCGGUGGAAUGCGCAGAUAUCAGGAGGAACACCAGUGGCGAAGGCGGUUCUCUGGGCCUUUCCUGACGCUGAGGAGCGAAAGCGUGGGGAGCGAACAGGCUUAGAUACCCUGGUAGUCCACGCUGUAAACGGUGGGUACUAGGUGUGGGGUCCAUUCCACGGGUUCCGUGCCGUAGCUAACGCUUUAAGUACCCCGCCUGGGGAGUACGGCCGCAAGGCUAAAACUCAAAGGAAUUGACGGGGCCCCGCACAAGCGGCGGAGCAUGCGGAUUAAUUCGAUGCAACGCGUAGAACCUUACCUGGGUUUGACAUGGAUCGGGAGCGCUCAGAGAUGGGUGUGCCUCUUUUGGGGUCGGUUCACAGGUGGUGCAUGGCUGUCGUCAGCUCGCGUCGUGAGAUGUUGGGUUAAGUCCCGCAACGAGCGCAACCCUUGUUCACUGUUGCCAGCACGUUAUGGUGGGGACUCAGUGGAGACCGCCGGGGUCAACUCGGAGGAAGGUGGGGAUGACGUCAAGUCAUCAUGCCCCUUAUGUCCAGGGCUUCACGCAUGCUACAAUGGCUGGUACAGAGAGUGGCGAGCCUGUGAGGGUGAGCGAAUCUCGGAAAGCCGGUCUCAGUUCGGAUUGGGGUCUGCAACUCGACCUCAUGAAGUCGGAGUCGCUAGUAAUCGCAGAUCAGCAACGCUGCGGUGAAUACGUUCCCGGGGCU
rnacentral:rRNA from 1 species